UACGGAGGGGGCUAGCGUUGUUCGGAAUUACUGGGCGUAAAGCGCGCGUAGGCGGACCUGCAAGUCGGGGGUGAAAGCCCGAGGCUCAACCUCGGAACUGCCUUCGAUACUGCGGGUCUCGAGUCCGGGAGAGGUGAGUGGAAUUCCUAGUGUAGAGGUGAAAUUCGUAGAUAUCAGGAGGAACACCGGUGGCGAAGGCGCACACCUGGCCCGAUACUGACGCUGAGGCGCGAAAGCUAGGGGAGCAAACGGG
rnacentral:rRNA from 1 species